CGAAGGCCGAUACGGUUCUUAAUAAAGAUCAGUGAUACUAUCAAGAGCUGUGAGGGAACUAUGUACGCAACCGGAUAGAAGUCAUGCAGUAAUCCUUUAUAUGAUAUUGUGGGUCUGUGGGAAUUAUUAUUGUCUGAGCUAGAAUCAAAUAAUGUAGAAAGCAAUCAAAUAUUUUAGCGAACUAUGUAAGCAACCGGAAGAAGUAAUCCUUUGUGGCUGUGACGACUACCAUAUUUGGCUCGCUGACAAACAAACGCCAGUACUUGAACUGCGUAGCAGCAUAUCAGAGUAAAUCACGCAGAAAUGGAACGGAAAUCACAGAAAAUACAGUAGACGUUGUGGUGGCAGCUGUAGAGAAGUAUUUGGGUAUACGAGAUUUGACUUCAGAGGAGUUACAGGGUGUGUUGAGUGGUGGUGACCCAUCCUAAAAUUAUUCAAAUUGUAGCCUGUUUCCUUGCGUGGGUUAACGUUGCUUGGUUGUACAUCCUCAAUUCUGGAACUGCAAAUGUAACGUUAUUAUUCUUGUAUGGGUUAGAAUCAAAUCAUGUAGUAGGCAAUCAAAUAUUUUAGAGAACUAUGUCUGCAACAGGAAGGAAGUCAUGCAGUAACCCUUUUAGCCACAACUUCCUAAGAAAAGCUGUGGUCUACAUGUGAUGUACAACAGCUGUUUACAGUUUUUUUACAAACGCUUACACACUAAAGUGGUACUUGAGGCACACUCAGUGAAACCAUUAAGUCAUGUGCCUAAUCUUCAGACCAAGUCUGCAAAACUGCAAGCACGUUAUCUGCUUUACACUCAGUUUGCAAUUGUAAAGCACUUUUUGCAAAACACUCAACACAGUUCUCUACAUUAGACACAUCAUUCAAAUCAGAACUUGAGCACAAUAAAUAGGCUUCAAGUUGGCUUUCUUGGUUUGGACCACAAUGGAGGCCAAUUUUGGAGAGAGGGGAGGGGAGGGGGGGGGCUGGGACGAGGAAAACAAUCACAGAUGAGAUCCGGGCUGUUUUGGUUGAGUUUCAGGGAGGCUGGGCAGAGGGUCCAGCCUAACUUGAGCCGCUACACUGCAGCAAGUGUCAUCCGAACAUUUCAAAAUGAGAACAGAAUUGCUAGACAACCCUUCAAUGGAGGAAGAAAUCGGCUGUUCACUGCAGAGCAGGACCAACACAUUGAAUAUGGUCAUUUUAAACAACCGCAUACGUCUAUGACAACUGCAACCCCACAUCAUCACUGACAACACAACAUUCAGUAACAUAAAUAGUGUGAGUUUAUCCGCACUUGGCCGUCUCCUGAAACGCCAUCAGAUUCGUAUGAAGCAGCUCUACAGAGUACCAUUUGAGCGAAAUUCUGAUGGUGUGAAAAAACUGCGCUAUGAAUACGUACAAAGUUAUGGAACUAGAUGCUGGAUGCUACCAAAUCGAUCCCGCUCCAGAGUACAGUUCUCGGUGUAACGCUCAUUCCUUCGACGAUAAACGCGAA